GCACAGAGCCCGACCCGGGGCUCGAACUCACAAACUGCGAGAUCAUGACCUGAGCUGAAGUCAGAAGCUUAACCUCCUGAGCCACCGAGGUGCCCCAAACAGAUUCUUUUCAACCCGACUUAUCUCAUUUCUCCUGUACAUUAUGAUGCCAAAUUUCAAAACUCAGGUAUUAAAAAUGGGGAAGGCAUUGAGUAUGUAGACAGAGGAAAGGGUAAUUAUAAUUUUCUCUUCCUCACCUGCAGCCAACAUGUCUUUUACUCAGCACCUACUCCGUGUCAUACAGUGUCUAGGCCCUGAGGAUAUGAGCAGGAAUACAACUCCACCCUGCCUUCCUAAUCCUCCCAGAAUUCAUCUUCUCCUGCUCUCUCAUACCUCUUUAUGUACACUUGAGGUAUGCACAUGCAAUGUUGGCAUGUCUUUCCCUGACGGGUGAUGUGCUUCUUAUGAGUACAGAACUUUACGAGGUCUGUCAACACCCAAUAAAAUUUUAAUCUCAAAAUUCUUCAUCUAAUAAGGGUUGUCUUUCAUUAAAUCCUUGGACACCAUUUAUGCAACCUUGUUCUUGGCUUCUCCCCACACACUUUUUAAAAAAAACACUCCCGCCACCAUCAGUCGGGGGUUGGUUGUUUCUGUCUCCUUUUCCUACUUUAGGAUUUACAGUGAUUCUGGAUAAGUGUGCAAAUGAGCAUAUUUGGGAUUCCUGGCCCCUUUUGUAGAACGCAAAAGCUCUCAAUCUACUUAGUAGGGGCCAAGACCUCUGUAUAAGAAAUUGAGUUCUAAAAGAUGAACUUGACCUAUCCACUUAAUACCAAAUUUGUGCAGCACUAUUGGGAAUUUCUUAUUGUUUUUCUUUUGGGCAAAUGAAUUCUCCCCUUUAUCACUCAGCUUCAGAAUACAUACCCAUAAGAUCCUCCUCUGUCUGUUGCGUUGGGCUUGUUCUCUUACUUCAGAGAACACUUUCAAGCCUGUGAUCUUGGACAAAAGCUGCAGGCUGCCUCUCUGUUCUGCAAGUGUUUACCAUAAAUAGGAUUUCUCAGCCUGCUCUUAGAUGGAGCCUUCACUAACGGGGACACCGAGAUGGCAGAAGGUCCAUCCGGAGUGGGAAACUGAGGCUUUGGUUCCUGCUUCUACUUGUUUGCUUCAGUGUGCCGUGAGUGUGGCUCGUCCCUCAGAGAAACAGAAGGGAAGGCAGAAAUUGGGUGUUGGUGGGAGGUGGACAGGAGCCUACUUGUAAGAUGGAAGAUUAUGUGUCAUUUGCAUUUGCUCAUUUGCAUUUGCCCAACCCCAGCCUCCUCAGCCAGCGCUGUAAGAACCUGCCAUGUGAAGGCGAUUUAAUUUACUUUACUAAAAGGAUUCAGAAAGAACAGUUUGUAAACAAAUAUCUCUCUACUGCAGCUUAAAAGCAUUAUUUGUUGUGAGGGUAACCAUAGGUUCCUAAUUGCUGAAAGCAAUGAUUAGUAUACACGAGAGUCCAUUAUACUAUUCUCUUUACCAUUGUAUAUGUUAGAAAUUUGCCGUGAUGCAACGUUUAAAAGGGAUUAGUUGUCAUCUAAUCAGAGCCUUGUAUGCUGUUAUUUGAAGCUGCAUCACUGAGGGAAGUAUGAGAUGUAUGGCUUCUAAACCAGGCCCAAUUUAUUAUUUAUUAAAAAUAAAAGAAGCCAUUAGCUUCAUAAACACAAAAGAAAACAUGGAGGUUCAUAAGAUAUGUCUUAUUGUGAAUACUUUUGACCUGCCAACUGCUGCAAAGACGAUGGAUCAUUUGGAUGUGAAUGUUUAGUUUCAUGUUGCCAAGUACCCAGGAUGCAAUAGCUAUACAUACACAGCAAGAAUGCAAUAAAUACUAUGGGUCUUCCUACUUCAGUUGGUUAAGAAAAUCUCAACGUUAGGUUACUAUGCCCUUUCUGUGACAAAAGAGGCUCCCAUCCCACUUUCAGUGCCGUGAAGGCUCCUUUGCCUGGUGAUUAUUAGGCCUAGGCGACACUGAUCGUGUUGACUCGAAACUGAUUUGUACCUUUCCAUUUAUACUUUAUAGUCAGAAAUAUUUCCUGCCAAGAUGGAAGCCAGGUAGGGAAGCUAAAGCAACCAUGGGAGACCCUCGGGGUUAUCAGAGGAGUCACAGAGCAAGAGGGGCCUAUAUAGACAGGUGUGCAGGAGUACAAGUCUCCCGCUGCGCCACCCCACUCUCCCUCCUGGCCCCCAGCCAUACUCGUGGCAAGACUUACCAAGUUCCUCCUGCCAGCCAGCCAAAGGGCCCUUUCACCCCAUCCGAACAUGUCAUGGUCAUUCGAACUCCCAUCUGCACGGGCAUUGACAUAAAGUUUCCUGUUUUUCUUUUUCCUCUGUUUGUUUCAUCACAACUCUGUGAAGGUACAAAGACAGGGACUAUUUCUCCAGUGAUAUUUAGUGUACAAUGAGAGUAAGAGUGACUCACCCAAGACAAAUCUCCCAUCACUUCACUCGUGGCCAUGGAAAGUUCCUGGGCUUCUUUUAAAUAACAUGAAAGUACGCUAGAUCCUUACUUACCUUUCUUCUUUCUUUCAACAAACACGUAUUGAAUACCUACUGUAUGCCAGGCCCUGCACCAGGUGCCAGGGAGACAAUGUUACAGUCCCGGCCGUCAGAGAGCUUCAUCUCUAGUGCGAGACAGACAUUCAUCCAACACUCAGUCAGAGCAAGGAGAAGCAAGAGAAUGGAUGGGUGGAUUCAUAUUUGCAGUGACUCCUCUGGCUGUUUCAGGACUACAGCAAAACAUCACCAAUUUAGACAGAUCCACUGUGAGUAAAUUGUUCCCUCCCUUUCUUGGUGAGUCAGGCUUCCUCAGGAACCAAACUACAAAAAUAGCUUUUUGGGUUAGAAAAUUGGAACUCGAUGCGAAGCUCCUUCCCCUGCCCGGAAAGUGUUUCACUGCCUUUUUGACUCUUGUUGGCAUUGUAGUGUGAUAGGAGUUACCAGGUGUGCCCUUGACUUGAUCUGAGAACCUCUGUUUUGGUAAACUUUUAUCGCCAACUCUAUAGUUGAUGGGUUUGAGGACCUACUUACUAACCUGUCCGUUCGUUAGCUUGUUUAUAUGUAGAAUGAGAUGCAUUUUUCAAGAUGUGUCCUAGCUCUGAAGUUCUGUGACCAGCCAAGAUUUUUCUUCCCCCUUCAGGGACUUGUGCUAAAACCAUAGCUAUAGCUACCCGACUCAUGUUGGUACAUUCAGGACAUGUGUCCACAUCUGCUUACAGCAACCUUCUUUCAGAGAGAAGUGAGAAUGCCACGGGAUUUCCCAGAACGAUGCUUCAUUGCUGACCCCAACUGGAAGAAUACUGAGAAGGCAUGGGGGAGGUUCCUGAAGCUGCUCAACAAUGCACAACGGGUUAUAGUAUGAAUCGCUGUCACACUUACAUCAGCUGGCACCCUUUUCUCUCCCCUAGACCCCUAGAAAUAGGUUUCUUCGCUUCUCUGGGCCUUGGUUUAUUCAUCUGUGCAACGGGACUGAACUGAUUUAUUUUUGAACGCGCUGCUACAGGAUUCUGUGAUGGGACUGUAAACCUCUUUACAACCGUGGAUGUUUCCACUAGAAUUUUUAACCAUUACAUUUAUUUAUUUAUUUACUGACUUACUUACGGAAUAGGAUGUGUAUGCAUAUAGGUAUAUAUUUUUAUCCCACAAGAGGAAAACAUACUGAAUGCUUUUGACUUGUUAAACUAGGUCCCAUUUCCACCAAGGACAGAAAGUUACAUUUGUCCUCUCCCUUUGUCCUCUCCACUCCUCUCUGCCCUUCUCCCUCCCUUCUACCACUCUGCCUUCCUUCCUCCCUCCCUUCCUCCUUCAGGGAUUACCUGUAAGUGAAACUCCACCAUCAGAGCCCAGUGGCAAUUGUGCCCACGAAAGCUGGGGUAGCAUAUUUAUGGAAGUUUUUUUUCCUAAAGGUUCUUGGGCUUUCUUGUGGGUCGCUGUGACUAAGAGCCCCGCUGUUGACUAAAAGCUUUGCUCAUCUCAGACAAGAACUGGCUCCCCAGUUCCUGCACUCAUUGGAAAAUGAAAUUAAACUCUAGAGGGUGGUGUAGGUGUUUUAUUUUCCUCCAAGUGCAGGAAGGCGCCAAGGCAUUAGAGCGGUACAAAUUUUACUCUUUGUUAGAAUGGAAUGGCACUUCAGAAGAAGGGGGGCAUCGUUUCUGCUCCAAGUAACUUUGCUCAUUUUUUUCCAGCUUGGAAACUUGGUUACUUUCUAAUUAUAGACUGUGUGGCUGGGCGUGUUGUAAGCUAAAACCAGUUCUAUAGGGCUCUGUGCUCUGUUCUUUUCCCUUGACUAUGAAGAACAGGAACAGGUGACAAGCAGAUUUGGAAUUGCUUGAGUCAGGCUUGGAUUUUUUGUUGUUCUUUGUCCUGGGUUUUAUUUAGACAUUCAGCAUAGAUGCCUAUUUUACUUCAACAGAGAAAAAUAGACAAAGCUUGGCAUACUCUUGAUUUUAUGCUUCACCUCAUGAAUCAUUUUAAUAGCUGUUCUGUAAAGAACUGAGUAGGAUACCUUUGCUACUUUGCUACCAACCAUCCAACCAUCCAUCUUUUAUUUGCACUUUAUGCAAAGUGUUUCCUUUAACUUGAACCCUCCACUGUAGUUUUUUGAGUUAAUGUAGAUUUUUGCUUUUCUUUACAGCUGAAAAAUAUUUGGGUGAAACUAAUAAACAACUAGGGGUAAGCUACCCAUGAUGCUACUACCCCUGUAUAACCAAUGUAGUCUUUCAGGAUAAUUUCUUCUGGAAUCUCUUGAGAGCUAGGAAUGAGAUUUAUUAAUCGGUGACAGUUCCUGGGCCUCUCCACUCCAUUUCCUCACCACCUGCUGAAAAAGAUUUUAUUUUUGUCCUAAUUCUUCCUUUCUCCAGGCCUAUAAUUGUCUUUCCCAGAUUCUGGGCUUAAAUCAGCGGAUAGGGCAUAACCCAGAUAAAAUUUUAAAAGAGAGAAAAGUACAGAGUGACUUGUGGCCCCCAGAUGAUAAAGAAGUGGUGAAGGACAGACAGAAUAGUUCAUGUUCUGCGUACUGGAAAAGCCUGGAGGAGUGGGGUGGUGAACCCUGGCUAGAAGAAGAUCUGCAGAAUGAGUAGGGAACCAAGGUUUGGGUCGGAGAAGGAACAGCUUCGCUAUGAAGUAUGAAUUGAAAUUGCAUUCAUGUUAUUGGAGAGAUGACGGAAGUAAAGAUAGGCUGUUGUAGCAAGCCUGUGCCAAGCCUGGGUUGGGAUCAGGGAGCAGUUGCUUUCAUAUUUUUAUAUUUUCCUUUGUUGCAUGUUCAUUUUAUUUCUAAUUACAAAAUAAUAUACUAAUUGUGAAGCUUUCUACUUCUGAGCUAUACUAUAUGUAUAUACAUACAUACAUAUAUAUAUACACAUAUAUAUAUAUACACACACAUAUAUAUGUAUAUAUAUCUAUCGCAUGUAUAUAUCUAUAUAUGUAUAUAUAUAUCACAUGUAUAUAUCUAUCUCCACCUAACAGAAUUACAGUUGCUUUUGCCCACUCAAUAUAUUAUUAGUGUCUUCUUUUAUUAUUAAGUAUUUAAAAUAGCUGUAUAUACCACCUGUAGGCAAUUGUUGGCCAUACACGUUAUUUUUAAAACUUUUUAAUCACAUGCCACUCAUGUGAAUAUUGUUACAACUCAAUCUUGGCAUUUUUGUUUAUUUCUGUAGACUCUAUUCUGAGGAAGAGAUUUAUGGCCUGUAGGAGGAUAAGUAUUUGCAAGAGUUUUGAAUGAAAUAAGCAACUUACUAUUAUGGGAUUUAACUUCAAAUUAUGUACUCCUAUACUACUCUUACCAUUGUUUAAUAGCAUGCAUUUUAAUAGACCUUUUUAACUUUUCCAAAGCACUUUCACAUUGAUUAUACACCCAAUUUCACCCAUUAAGGCAUGUGAUACUUUUACUCUUAUCUGAAACUAUUUCAGAUAGCUUUUAUGUUUCAGAAGGUAGAAUCAGAGCUACAAUUUAAAGGGAUUAAAAAAAAAAAAAAAAGAAUCUUAGUUAUCCCGAAUAUGAAUCCUGCUCUGAGUAUGAAUCCUUCGUCUGUUUUAUUUCAGUGAAAGUAAGCUCUUGGCUUCACUUUCCAUUGCCCCGUUUGCUUCUGUCCCUCAUUUCCAAAUCUGUUAUGUUGCUAUUCAGAGCAUGAUGAAAACACACUGACCCUCAUUGUCCUUCCCAAGUAAAAUACGCGUCAAGCCUAUUGUGAGGGUAAGAAGUUAGUAGCUCAUGGGACUUGCUGAUCACAAAUGUCACAUUCAGGGUUCUGUAUUCACUGUGGGUUUGGGUAAGAGUGGGGGCUGUAACACCCAGUCAUUCUCUCUUAUGAAAUACUGGAUCUAAGUUUUCUAAUUUAUUAUCAACAGUAAUGUAACCUUUGACUCCCGUAACAAUGAAGCCAGAGGCUCUGUGCUUGGAAAUCUCCAUUGAUAACCCAUCCCCUAAUGAUACUCUCAGCCCUUUUAAAGAGUUAUAAUGGAUUCUCUCUGCCAAGAGUCAUAUACUCAAAUGCCUCCAUGGGCCAGGCAGGUUAUGUAAGAGAGAAUGCAGGGCAGCUGUUAGAAAAACAACGAUCAAUGGCAGCUCAGUGGGGGCCUCUGUGUCAGAGAUGCAGGAGAUUGUGGGAGGACAAGAGCUAAUUGGGGAGCAUUUGUUCUGUCUGAAAGAGAAGGUGCUCCAGCCAGUGGCUGACAUGUGGAAAAGUGGGCCUACUGUUGUUAGAUUUUCUUGUUUAUAGGAGAAGUUAGAAAUCCCAAGUUUUAUGGACUUUCUAAACACAGCGCGAUUCAAAUACAAGUUCUGUAAACACCAUCCAAUGCAAGCACAUAUGUGACAGUAGGCUGGAUCUGGCCCACGGAGGCCGUCACGUGACUUGCAUCUGUCGUGGCAACUCCUGUGAGGAUUUGAAUAAGCCUGCAGAGCUCAGAAAAUAUGUGAGCACUGUACUGGAUGUGCACCAGAGCCCAGGAGAUAAUGAAAGUGAAACAGCCCCUUCAAAAGAGGCGGUCUCUUUUAAAUUUUAAGAGGCCUUUUAGCUCUUCGCUACCAUUACUAUAAGAAUGAGGACCACUCUCGGCCAUAGGACUGUUGACGUUUCAGAAAAUGUCAACAUCACGCUGCAGGGACAUACAGCGUGUCCUCAGACUUGUCUGUGAUAUUUUACAGAUGCAAUAAAAGCCAUGUAUGGAUUUGGGGCCGGCGGGGGCGGGGGGAGGGGGAGUCUUUGAAAAUUGUGGACCUCUAAUGAGA